UGCCACAGCCAUAUCACCCUGCAGCCCAAGACCGGUUACUCACUGAAGCUAAGCAGGGCUGAGCCUGGUCAGUACCUGGAUGGGAGACCAAUAGGGAACACUAGGUUGCUGUUGGAA
rfam:Danio rerio chromosome 6, GRCz11 reference primary assembly.